rnacentral:rRNA from 1 species
AGAGUUUGAUUAUGGCUCAGGAUGAACGCUAGCUACAGGCUUAACACAUGCAAGUCGAGGGGCAGCAUUGGAGUAGCAAUACUCAGAUGGCGACCGGCGCACGGGUGAGUAACACGUAUCCAACCUGCCGCUUACUCGGGGAUAGCCUUUCGAAAGAAAGAUUAAUACCCGAUGGUAUAAAGAGUUCGCAUGUUCUCUUUAUUAAAGAAUUUCGGUAAGCGAUGGGGAUGCGUUCCAUUAGAUAGUUGGCGGGUAACGGCCCACCAAGUCUACGAUGGAUAGGGGUUCUGAGAGGAAGGUCCCCCACAUUGGAACUGAGACACGGUCCAAACUCCUACGGGAGGCAGCAGUGAGGAAUAUUGGUCAAUGGACGAGAGUCUGAACCAGCCAAAGUAGCGUGAAGGAUGACUGCCCUAUGGGUUGUAAACUUCUUUUAUAAGGGAAUAAAGUGAGGGACGUGUCCCUUUUUGUAUGUACCUUAUGAAUAAGGAUCGGCUAACUCCGUGCCAGCCGCGGC